UUAUAACACAGGUGGGCCUCAUCCAAUCAGUUGAAGAUCCUAAGAGUGAAAACUGAUGUUUCCCAGAGAAGAAGGAAUUCUGACAGAGACCAACAGAAGGUAUUUAAAUACGUAGAGGAAAAAAAAAACCUUGAGUCUUUUCAAUAUUAAAAGAGCCCUGCAAACUGAAGCUGGACAACUUGACAUAAACUUCAGAGAAAUUGCCACAGCAGUUCAUAUUGAAAUGAGCUUCAUGCCUGUCACUGUUUGAGCCACUCAGGAAGUUUACCUGAACAUCUGAGGACAUCAUCAGAAACAUAUCAAACUGCAAAAGAUGCUUCACCUCUGACAUCUAGAAAUCUUCUUGACUGACUGCCCUUGGGCUCAGAAACUGGUUUAUAAUCUGCUCCAGUCAUUAACCUUUGUUUUUCCUUAUGUUUCCAUAGACACGCCUCUUAUUAAAUACCUGAUUGCUUGCAUAAGGUAGGCCUGGCUUUGGGAGCUGACCAGCAUCACCACCUCCUGAAGUGAGUUUAAAGGAACUGACCUAUUGUCAAGACUGGUUCAGUGAAAUGAAACCAUCUGCCAGCUCAACUUUUAAUAUGCAAAAACUUGCAAGGAAGUUUCAGAGGAGGUAACUGCCGGGGUCCAUGUCAGGCUGUCCCCAGAUAUGCCUCAAUGGCAUGUUGAUUAUUUUGAAUUAAAGUUACUUAAGAAAGGACCAAGGCAAGAGGGGCACUCUGACCCUCCUCUCUGUCUCUCUGAAAGCAGGCACUAAAUCUCCUACGUGAAAGGUGCACCCCCUGCAUCUGGAGGUAGAAGGACACCCUUAUAGCCAGAGAUGGGGAACUUGAGGCCAAGAAGGCUAUAUAAACAAACCCCGUCACUUCUCUAAUCUACUACUCCAUGCCCAAACUAUUUAGAUUCUUCACUAAUUAAGCACCCAAAGCCUAAGUUUCUUUGCCCUGUCAAUUCCUCAUAUAUUUAUUGCUUCUUUGUCUGAAAAGUAUAAAAGCUGCCUGCUUUGGCUGCUUUGUAGGUCCCAUUUCUAUGAGACUUCUGUGCUCACAAAUUGAAAUGUGUUUCUUUUUCUUCUCUCAAUCUGUCUUGGGUCAAUUUUAUUGUUAGUCCAGCCACAAGAACUCAAGAGGCGUAGAGGGAGAAAUUUCUCCCUCCGUGGCAGUGCUUACAGGAGAAAGCCUCCAAAAAAUCCCAAUAGUGUGAGAAUCAGGAAGCUUCCAGGUUGGUGAGCACAUCCACGUACUGGGAAGGUGACACACCUGACCUCCACCAGGACAGAAGCUCCUUUGCUGGGGACCCUCCUAGAACGUGUCCUGUGCGUCUCUUCAUCUGGCUGCUCAUUUUGUAUCUUUUAUCGUAUCCUUUAAUAAACCAGUAUAUGUAAGUAAGUGUUUCCCUGAGUUCUGGGAGCUGUUCUAGCUAAUAACAGCUAGAUUAAAUAACCUAA